UUUUACACUCAGUGAAGUGGGAGCGCAUUAUUUUGGAUGAGGCUCACUUUGUCAAAGAUAGGCGAUGUAAUACUGUAAAAGCAGUUCUCGGACUGGAGUCUUCAUACAGAUGGGCUUUAAGUGGAACACCUCUUCAAAAUCGUGUUGGGGAGCUCUACUCUCUUUUCCUCAAAACAAUGUCCUGAAUGCUCUCACAGUUCUGUACGGCACUUUUGUUGGUGGAAUCGAGUGAGUUGCAUUUUCAUUGGUCCUUUGGCCUCUCUCUCUUUUUUUUUUGGGCAAAUCAUAUGGAAUGUUUUCAUUUGAACUCUGAUAUGGAGUAUAUAUUCUAUCUAGUAUAUAGCGAAUCCUAUACAAGCACAUGGAAAUGCCAUUGGCAGAAGGCGAGCAAUGAUAUUACUAAAACAGUAUUUUGAAAAACAUUUUGCUGAGACGCACAAAAAAGGGAAGAGCUGCUGAUCUUGCACUUCCACCUAGAAUUCUUACUUUGAGGCGGGAUACACUGGACAUUAGAGAAGAGGAUUAUUACACAUCAUUGUACAAUGAGGUCCAAUCUAACCUUGUGCGGUGUGCAUAUUGAUUGGUAUUUCACUUUCUUCUCUGGGCUUGUGGGACUUUGAGUAUCGCAUUGUAUGUCAACAAGUGAAUGUCACUUCUUUGGAGGAGGUGAUGAAGCACUUCAUGCAAACCUUAUAGGAGAAAGCAGAGUGGGCGCAAGAUUGGAAGUAUCUUUUCAUACAUAUCGGGGAUAAGCUUUGCUUCAGCAUCUUCAGUGCCAGAAGUGCAGUUGGCCCAAUAUGUUCCUGCCCUGGAAAGAAUUGCCACCCUGAGGUUGCUUAAGCAAGUGCUUUAAAGUGCUCAAGAUUAUUUAUUCUCUUAUUAUGUGUACUAUAAAUAAAAAUAUAUGUCAUUCUUGUGGACAAUGCAGAUGAAUGUAUUUCAUUUUCAUAUUAUUAUAAUAUUUUGA